rnacentral:rRNA from 1 species
AUGCCCCGCCUCGGCUUCCGGCGCUCUCUUCCGUCACUGUCGUUGAUGCCCCUCCUCGUCCUCUUCGUCGCGGUGGGUGCGGCGGGGAAGGGCGACGGCGGGCUGCGGUUCCAGCGGGAGGGCGGCACGUUCAAGGUGCUGCAGGUGGCGGACAUGCACUACGCGGACGGGCGGAGCACACGGUGCAGGGACGUGCUGCCCGCGCAGCGCGCCGGCUGCUCCGACCUCAACACCACCGCCUUCCUCUACCGCCUCCUCCGCGCCGAGGACCCCGACCUCGUCGUCUUCACCGGUGAUAACAUUUUUGGUGAGAAUUCAACCGAUGCGGCCAAGUCGAUGGAUGCGGCGAUCGCUCCGGCCAUUGCCAUGAAACUUCCCUGGGCUGCUGUGCUCGGCAACCAUGACCAAGAGGGUACGCUGUCGCGCGAGGGUGUGAUGCGCCACCUUGUAGGCAUGAAGAACACCCUUGCACGCUUCAAUCCACAAGGAGUAGAAAUCGAUGGCUACGGAAACUAUAAUUUGGAGGUUGCAGGGGUUGAAGGAACACUGCUGGCUAACAAAUCAGUGCUCAACAUGUAUUUUCUUGAUAGUGGUGACUAUUCCACUGUGCCAUCGAUCCGUGGCUAUGGUUGGAUCAAGGCAUCACAGGAAGCUUGGUUCAGGCAAACCUCUUCGAGUCUCCAGCAAAACUAUACGGGUGGACAACCCAGACAGAAGGAGCCAGCACCUGGUCUUGCUUACUUCCACAUUCCCUUGCCGGAGUUUAACAACUUUACGGCAUCCAAUUUCACAGGAGUAAAGCAGGAGAAGGGUAUCAGCUCGGCGUCGAUCAACUCCGGCUUCUUUAACACCAUGGUGGAAGCUGGAGAUGUGAAGGCUGCCUUUGUAGGACAUGAUCACUUAAAUGACUUCUGUGGUAAGCUCACUGGUAUUCAGCUGUGCUAUGCUGGUGGUUUCUGUUACCAUGCGUAUGGCAUGGCCGGGUGGUCAAGGAGAGCAAGGGUGGUGUCUGUGCAACUUGAGAAGGCAGCGAGCGGCGAGUGGCAAGGCAUGAAGUCUAUCAACACAUGGAAGAGGCUUGAUGAUCAACAUCUCACCACAAUUGACUCUGAGGUGCUAUGGAAAAGAAGCUCUAAUAGUUGA